rnacentral:rRNA from 1 species
CUGCCCCUUACUUGGGGAUACCCCGUUGAAAGACGGCCUAAUACCCGAUGUGUUUCAUUGACGGCAUCCGAUAUGAAACAAAGGUUUUCCGGUAAGGGAUGGGGAUGCGUCUGAUUAGCUUGUUGGCGGGGCAACGGCCCACCAAGGCGACGAUCAGUAGGGGUUCUGAGAGGAAGGUCCCCCACAUUGGAACUGAGACACGGUCCAAACUCCUACGGGAGGCAGCAGUGAGGAAUAUUGGUCAAUGGACGCAAGUCUGAACCAGCCAAGUAGCGUGCAGGAUGACGGCCCUAUGGGUUGUAAACUGCUUUUAUGUGGGAAUAAAGUGGCGCACGUGUGCGCCAUUGCAUGUACCUCAUGAAUAAGGACCGGCUAAUUCCGUGCCGCAGCCGCGGUAAUACGGAAGGCCGGGCGUUUCCGGAUUUAUUGGGUUUAAAGGGAGUGUAGGCGGUCUGUUAGCGUGUUGUGAAAUUUAGGUGCUCACAUUUAACUUGCAGCGCGAACUGUCAGACUUGAGUACACGCAGCGCAGGCGGAAUUCAUGGUGUAGCGGUGAAAUGCUUAGAUAUCAUGAGGAACUCCGAUCGCGAAGGCAGCCUGCGGGAGUGUUACUGACGCUUAAGCUCGAAGGUGCGGGUAUCGAACAGGAUUAGAUACCCUGGUAGUCCGCACAGUAAACGAUGGAUGCCCGCCGUUGGCGCCCUGCGCCUGCGGCCAAGCGAAAGCAUUAAGCAUCCCACCUGGGGAGUACGCCGGCAACGGUGAAACUCAAAGGAAUUGACGGGGGCCCGCACAAGCGGAGGAACAUGUGGUUUAAUUCGAUGAUACGCGAGGAACCUUACCCGGGCUUGAAUUGCAGUCGCUGCCCACAGAGACGUGGGCUUCCCUUCGGGGCGUCUGUGAAGGUGCUGCAUGGUUGUCGUCAGCUCGUGCCGUGAGGUGUCGGCUUAAGUGCCAUAACGAGCGCAACCCCCUUUCCCAGUUGCCAUCGGGUUAUGCCGGGCACUCUGGGGACACUGCCACCGCAAGGUGCGAGGAAGGUGGGGAUGACGUCAAAUCAGCACGGCCCUUACGUCCGGGGCUACACACGUGUUACAAUGGCCGGUACAGAGGGACGGUGCAAUGCAAGUUGCAUCCAAUCUUGAAAUCCGGUCCCAGUUCGGACUGGGGUCUGCAACCCGACCCCACGAAGCUGGAUUCGCUAGUAAUCGCGCAUCAGCCAUGGCGCGGUGAAUACGUUCCCGGGCCUUGUACACACCGCCCGUCAAGCCAUGAAAGCCGGGGGUGCCUGAAGUUCGUGACCGCGAGGAGCGACCUA